rnacentral:lncRNA from 1 species
GGUGUUAAUUAGUAUAUGCUAAUGAGGAUGGGAUCGGCCAUAGGGAAGAAGUCGUUAAUUAGCGGCCUUCACGAGCUGCGGAUCGUUACUAUUGAGGCUUCGUGUUGGUUGAAGGCUGGGCUCAUUUGCAUACAUUAGCAUAUGAGGAUCGAGAGUGCAUACGAGGAUCGAGAAUGCUCGCUAAUUAGCAUUGCUAAUGAGGACGGGAUCAGCACUAACGAAGACUUCGUUAAUUAGCGACCUUAACGAGUUGUCCAUUGUUACCAUUGAGGCUCUUCAGUGAUUGAAUGCUGGGCUCAUUUGCAUAAAUUAGCAUACGAGGAUCAAGAAGGGUAGCUAAUUAAGGCCACUAAUGAGGAUCGGAUUGACGAUGAUGGAGACUUCGUUAAUUAGCAGCCUUGUUAAUUAGCGGCCUUGACGAGCUGUGGAUUGCUAUCAUGGAGGCCUCGGAUUGGUUGAAAGCUGAGCUCAUUUGCAUGAAUUAGCAUACGAGGAUCAAGAAAGGAUGUUAAUUAGAGCUGCUAAUGAAGAUUGGAUCAGCGCUAACGAAGAGUUUGUUAAUUAGGAACCUUAAUGAGCAAUCCAUCGUUACCUUCGAGGCUUUUCAGUGGUUGAAAGCUGGGCUCAUUUGCAUAAAUUAGCAUACGAGGAUCAAGAAAGGACGUUAAUUGGCGCUGCUAAUGAGGAUCCAAUCAGCGCUAACGAAGACUUCGUUAAUUAGCGACCUUAAUGAGCUGUGGAUCGUUACCAUGGAGGUCACGGAUUGGUUGAAAGCUGGGCUCAUUUGCAUAAAUUAGCAUACGAGGAUCAAGAAGCGUCGUUAAUUAGAGCUGCUAAUGAGGAUCCGAUCAGCGCUAAUGAAGAUCUUGUUAAUUAGCGGAUGAAGGCUUCGUUAAUGAGCGGCUUUGCACGAGCUGCGGGUCGUUACCAUGGAGGCUUCUCAUUGGUCGAAAGCUGGGCUCAUUUGCAUACAUUUGCAUAGGAGGAUCACGAAAGCUCGUUCCUGAGCACUAAUUAACGGGGCUUAAUGAGGCUGCUUAAUGAGCUCGGCGCAGCGGUAACGAAGGCCGCCUUAAUUAGCGAGCGCGGCUCCCGGCGUCGGCUUCCCAUUGGUCGAGAGCCCCCCUCAUUAGCAUAUAUGAAUGGUUAAUGAGGGGGCGGUGUUGAAUGGGUUUCAAUGGGGGCCAAUGGGGUUUAAUGGGGGUUAAUGGGGUCUUAUAGGGUCUUAAUGGGGUUUAUGGGGUCUUAAU